CCUCUUGGAUAAAAUACGAGUCAUACAAACGGAUUCUCUGAGUCUUGUACAAAGCGGUUUUACAGCUGGGAGUACUACAUCGGAGUCGAGCUGUGCUGCCGUGAAACUUUGUUGCGAUAUUUUGGUGGAAAGACUGAUGCCGAUUAAGAACAGAUUAUGGGAACAAACGGGUUCUGUGAAAUGGGAGGCGUUGAUUACUGCGGGACAUCUUGAAUCAGUGAACUUUGCAGCAAAUGCUUACUAUGUGCCUGUUGCUGGAACUGGUGACUACCUUAAUUAUGGCGCUGCUGUGAGUGAGGUGGAAAUAAACCUAUUGACAGGAGAAACAAGAAUUCUUC